rnacentral:lncRNA from 1 species
CUGAACUAGUAAUUAAUCUUUUUGUUUGUUCUCUUUUGACGUAAUUCUCAGUAGUCCAAUGAGUACAACAGAAGAACUAAAACCAAAAAAUCAUCCGUUGGCUGAAAGAAUAGAAGUACACGUGAAUACUUCUUGUACUAAAUUUCUCUGCCAUAAAUAUCUCCUGCUGGUAGAUCCUGUCAGUUCAAAUGUCUCUCAAAGUCACCCGGAAAAGACUGCAACCACAGCUGAAUACAAGCACUUUUUCAGAAUCAUACUGAAGGUAAUGUUUUCCUUCUUUGCUCUUUACUUUGCCAUGAUUAGACUCCCUAUAGAUAGAACUGAGACA